GAUUUCUUCUUACAUGCUUUCAGCUUUUACAGGUUGGCUCACACCACAUAUCUUAUCUAUCUCAUAGGCCGAAAGAGGAGCAGCAGCCACUCAGAGGGCGAAACAGCCUGUAAAAGGCCUCGGUGGCAGGACGAGUCAGAUGGAGUGAAAACAGGGGUGACAGAUGGCCAGGACAUGUCAGAGAAGCAGCUACUGCAGGUGGCCAAGCGGCUCGGGAAGGAGUGGAAGCAGGUGGCCAUCUUUCUAGAAUUGAACUCCAGGGAGCUGGACGACAUCCAGGCAGCAGAGAAAGACGUGACCAUGCAGAAGCUGAAGAUGCUGGUGGAGUGGAAGAGCAGAAGGCGGCCGGGAGAGGCCACGGCGCUCCACCUGUGGAAAAGUGUGGAGGAACUGGAUAACUUGCCAAAUGAGGUCCAUCAAACACUGCAAGACAUGAUGGACAAUCGAGCAGCUAAGUGAAAAAGAUUUGCCUUAAAUGGACUGUUGGAUUUUUGUUGCUCCAUCAUCAGGAAGAAAUAUCAAACCUCAGGAAUACAACAAAACAGAGGAUGGAUAGAACAAAACAUAAGCUGGUCCAAGUUUGUGUUGUUUUUUAAAAUAUUUCUGGAAAAGAAACUGAUGUGUUUUUGUUUUGCCGUAUUUCAUUGAAAAGGGCUUUCUUGAAUACAGAAUAGAAAAGAUGCACCUAAAGCUUCCCUUGUGUAGCCAGAAUUCGAUGCUUUGCUAGGUUAAAAAAUUACCAAAAGAGGUAGAGGUCAUUGAGGUAUAUAGUAGCUAAUUAUAUAACCAGUAACAUAUGUAAAUGUAGCGAUGCAGUGUUGAAACUGCAAAAACGAAAACUGAGUAGAUCUAACCUGUGUAUCUAAUUGUUUCACUUUUAAAUGUUGUGUUUGUGGGACGUCACACGCAUGUGCAUGUGAUGGACAACUGUUUCAAACCUGUGAUCUGUUUUUUAGAGUCUGUUUUUAUGUUUAUGUCUGUUUGUGUUUUAUUUGACAACUGUACAACUAAAUGGGAUCGCAAGAGGUCCUUAAUUAUGUUUUUUUAACUUGAAUUAUGAAUCCAUUACUGCCCUGUGACUGGAACACACAUCUUGUUCAGAUAUUUUUACGAGUCAUGUUUUUUUAGGCUUAUUUCACAAAGACAAACUAUAUCGUCCGCUGCCUGUGGAAACUUUUCAGUUAAAUUCUCUCAGCAUCCACAGCUUUAUUUUGAACUAUUUUCAAAUGCCACUGUUUCCAGACAUCUCAACACUAAUUGGGAAAAGAUGCAUGAACGGCAUCUAGAUAGUUGAAUAUUUUCAGGGUCUUACAUGCUGAUAUGAUGCAGUAAUGUUUACUUAAUAACAGGGUUACUUUCUUAAACAACUCACCACCAAAAAUCAGACCCGUUCUUAUUUGCAGUUGUUUCUAUCAUGUCUGAGUCUCUCCAAAGAAUUGUAAUAAAGCAAAUGUUGACUGAAUCCAACUUUCCCC
rnacentral:lncRNA from 1 species